GACGAACGCUGGCGGCGUGCUUAACACAUGCAAGUCGAACGGAAAGGCCCUGCUUUUGUGGGGUGCUCGAGUGGCGAAAGGGUGAGUAACACGUGAGUAACCUGCCCUUGACUUUGGGAUAACUUCAGGAAACUGGGGCUAAUACCGGAUAGGAGCUCCUGCUGCAUGGUGGGGGUUGGAAAGUUUCGGCGGUUGGGGAUGGACUCGCGGCUUAUCAGCUUGUUGGUGGGGUAGUGGCUUACCAAGGCUUUGACGGGUAGCCGGCCUGAGAGGGUGACCGGCCACAUUGGGACUGAGAUACGGCCCAGACGCCUACGGGAGGCAGCAGUGGGGAAUAUUGCACAAUGGGCGGAAGCCUGAUGCAGCAACGCCGCGUGCGGGAUGACGGCCUUCGGGUUGUAAACCGCUUUCGCCUGUGACGAAGCGUGAGUGACGGUAAUGGGUAAAGAAGCACCGGCUAACUACGUG
rnacentral:rRNA from 1 species